AAGGGCUUAAGUUAAUAAAACUAGUAACCUUCAAAGUUACCUAUAAAAGUGCACACUUUUAGACCUUA
rnacentral:tRNA from 1 species